UCUGUGCAUAAUAAUCCUGAUCAACGUGACUUUACCGAAAGAGCUAAGAAUAUGAAUUACUGCAGUCACGAAAGCUUUAAAUAAAAAAAAUCCUGAUAUCUAUCCAGGAAAGUCUCAAAUCCUUUAACCCAAGGGGUCCCACAUUUUGGAUAUUUGGUCAGAUCCUUAUUAUUGAUAAUACGAAUAUCAGUCAUGUACAGGGGUCUGCAACCAGCGGCGUUGGAGCUACGUGUGGCUCUUUAAGGGCUGCUUCAUGACGUUAUUUAUUAAGGACCGCCGUCUCCUAUUCACCAAGUGCACUGGGGCUCGUGAAAUGUUCAGUUUUAUUUUUUUGCCGAAUUCGAAAGAAAUGGCUCCUGUUGUUAUUUUGGUAGAAGAACCUUGCUCAUGUACAUUAAGCAAAUUCUCACUGAGUUUCUAGACUUUUUUUCCAGGAGGGCCCUGCUACAUUGGGAUGUUUUCAUGAAUUCCAUUCAAUCACGCUGUAGGAAACCACGGUGCCUAGAGAAAACCCACCACACAUACGAGUGGAUAACACGCAAAUAGGCCCACUUUCCCACUUGCUGUAUUACUAUCCCCUGCCCACGUCGCAGGCUAAUUCCGGCUCAUAGAAUAAAAAACAUCAGUUUCACCGUCAUGCGGCAAACAUUCCUGUAUGUGGCAGGGCGGGUGGGAAAGUGCUGUCUCCUACUUUUUGGACCAGAGGUAACUUUAUGGGAUCUCAGGUAGCUCUGCGAUAUCCACUUCCGUGCACCGUUCUCAAAAAAUGAAGGGUCGCACUGCUGUACGAGAUUCGAAUGGGUAUUUUGUCCCAUGACAUAGAUAGCAUGCACAAUGAUGAUAACAUUGGAGACAAAGCUUAGAAAUAUCAACAAGAUGGGCAGACAGCAGAGUCAUUUACCUUAUUUUGUGGUUGAUGUUGCAGGAUAUGGGGCUGUACCUACCCCCACCACCAGCAGACAGUGAGGAUGAAGUUGAUGAUGCAGAGGCUGCAGGUGCUUGUUCCAGCCAGGCCAUCAACAUGGACAACGAGCAUGUCGAGUUGGUGAAGAAGACAAUGGCUAUGGUGAAGCUGCCUGCCGUGCCGGGCUGGGCACAGGAGCUCUCCGACGAGCAGUGGAAGGACAUGGUGUCCAAGACGCUGCAACCGCGGAAUAACGCGACUGAGAAAUGAGUGGAGAUUCACUUUUGCACACUCAUCCUCGCAUCGGAGGCAAAAUUACUCGCGUACGACUUCAUAGGUUGUCGCGGUCGUACUGUAUAGCCCUUCAAUGUGUUUUUGGGUUAUACCACAUUUAUUCGGCAUGACUUCCAGACGUUGCACUCCACGUGCUGGGAGCUUCUUUAGAAACUGAAGAAGCUCCCAAAACAUGGAGCGAAACCUUGUACGUCAUGGCAAACACAGUACAACCCAAAAACAUAUUACUACUUGUACAUUGGCAACUGCUGCAUUAUGCAGGGUGGCCCAGAGAGUUUACCUGGCUGUUAUUCAAACUGGAAUUAGGGUUGAUGCAGGAAACAGUGCCCUACCUUGCAAGUUGUAGGCCAGUCUUUUCACACUAAACCUGUCACAGACUCCGCACACUCCUUGGUGAUAAUAACUAUAUUUAACGGCCGUUUGUCAUUCCACUGCAUGUUGGAGGCCUCCCCACACCAUGUCAGUUAUGGGAGUCAUUUUACCAUACCUUCCUUACCAUACUUCACGCUGGUCAUUAUUUCUUGGUUGUAACGCCUAACGCAGAUUAAACAAGCUAUAAAUUACGUGUGUCGCCUUAAAGGUUAAUGUGUUUCUGUCUGGCGACUCCUCACCAUGGGUGUUUCAUUCAUUUUUCUUCACGCAUACAAAAUCUACUUUCAAAUCUUUUUAAAGGUGAAAAAGUAAAGCUUUUAUCUCAAACAGUACACCAAAGGUUAUCGUCAGGGCUUAAUAUCCCAUGGAUUAUUUUCUGGGCUAUCCUAAUCUCCCACCCAACAGUGAUUCACCAUCUGUCAACCCCAUUCCACCCCAGACAGAUACUUCUGAAAUUAAUCCCUGGUUACUGUCCAUUGUAGAACAUUGGCGGUAGCCCUCUCGAGUUGUAAUGUAAAAGCUUUGUCGAGGAAACUGCUGAUUAUGCUGUGUUUUGAUUUGAAACCAAACUCGCAGUACAUAUGACCACGUUAAUUGCAAUAAAUAUGCAUUCCACUCGGUGUGUUGUACUGCGUGUAAGUGUAACAAAUGUACGUGGAGGUCAGUAGAUUUCAUGCCAUCGUUUGAAAUAAUUACAGUGCACAAUUUGGGAGAGUUAAUCUGUGCUCAUUUAAACUUAAUUUAUAAAAAUAAAAAAAUAAUAACCUAA